ACCACAGAAGGUAAUAGUCCUGUAUGUUAAACGAGAAGACUUUAGAUAUGAUCCAGAGUACCACGGGACACGUGAAACCCUGUGGGAAGCAGGAGGGACCACCCUCCAAGGCUAAAUACUACCUAGUGACCGAUAGCGUAUAGUACCGUGAGGGAAAGGUGAAAAGAACCCCGGGAGGGGAGGGAAAUAGAACCUGAAACCCUGCACUUACAAGCUGUGGAAGCACAUUUCUUGUGUGACCGCGUACUUUUUGUAGAACGGGCCAACGAGUUACGUUAAGUAGCAAGGUUAAGCACUUAAGGUGCGGAGCCGUAGCGAAAGCGAGUUUUAACUGAGCGUUCAGUUACUUGACGUAGACCCGAAACCGGGCGACCUACCCA
rnacentral:rRNA from 1 species